rnacentral:lncRNA from 1 species
AGAAGGUGUCCAGGUGCCUCCAGCAAUCCACUCCAGGCGCUUUACUGCUUCCUUGAAGCUUGACAGUGAAUUGAUGCGCUCAUCAUCGAGCUUGAUGGCUUCAAAGGUCCCCUCGUGACUAUACUGAACCACCCCAACACGGGCACCUGUCUCUGAUUUGGGGUCCUUGGCGAUGGAGCCCAGCCGGCUGACCACGUUCACAACGAAAUUUUUCUCCAGAGUGAAGUUGGUAUAACCAAUACUUUCUGAGCUGUCUAUGACGAACAUGAUAUCCAGGGCACCGCAGCGCUUCUCACAGUCACAGCAUCCACAUGUCUCUCGCACGUAGGUCAUCACAUCGCAGUCAGUCAGGCCUGGAUCUCCAGGUGGGCCAGGGGUACCCUCUGGGCCUGCUUCACCAGGUGGGCCUCGGGUUCCAGGUUCACCUCUUGGGCCAGGAUCACCCGGUUCCCCCUUCUCUCCUUUUGUCCCUUGUGUUCCUUUUGGUCCAAGCUCACCCCUUCCUCCCUUGGGUCCUGGCUGCCCCUUCUCACCCUUGUCACCCUGUGGUCCUCUGGGUCCAGGGUAGCUGAAGCCAGGCCUGCCUCUGUCACCCUUUGGUCCCGGUGGUCCAGCAUCACCUCUUGGGCCCAAGUCUCCAGGGUCCCCACGUGAUCCUAUAUUGCCUGGUUCUCCCACAGCACCCGUAGGGCCUCGGGGUCCUGGCAAUCCUUGGUCUCCCCUUGCUCCUUUGUUUCCAACCUCACCCGGCAGGCCACGGGGACCCUCUGGACCAGGAUCUCCUCUUUCUCCCUUGGCCCCUGGACCGCCUUUGCUGCCCUUCGUCCCUGGAUCUCCACGUCGACCAGGCUCUCCUUUGGGUCCAGGAGGUCCUGUUUCACCUUUUCUUCCUUUGGUUCCACCAGGUCCUUGAGCUCCAGGGUUGCCAGGAAUUCCCGGGCUCCCUUUUUCCCCUGGAGGUCCAGGGGGUCCACUGCGACCAGGCCGGCCAGGAUCUCCCUUCAUGCCUUCAUCUCCUCUUUCUCCUUGGUCUCCUGCAUCUCCUGGGUAGCCAUCAGGGCCCUUGUCACCGCGAUCUCCCUUGCAGCCUGGUGGUCCAAUUCUACCCAGCUUGCCCUUCUGUCCAUCGGUGCCAUUCCUGCCUGCCAAACCAGCUGCGCCCCUCCGUCCAUCAGAUCCAAUCUCGCCCUUUUCUCCUUUCAGCCCUGGAACACCCUUAGGACCAGGGUAUCCAAUUGGACCUUCAAUACCUGGGUCACCCUGCCGUCCCUUCAGUCCAGGGGAGCCUGGUUCACCCAUGUUUCCCUUUGCACCCUUUUGCCCUCGGUAUCCCUUGGGACCAGCUGGACCUGCAAUCUCCAAACAGGUCAUCUUGUAGCACUCAGCAUAGGCUUCAUGUUUCAUUGCUUUGAUUAUCCUCUCGAUAGUGUUCUCAUCAAUGUGCAGGGCGUCUUUUGGUGUGAUGGUGUAGUUACUGCGGUACAGGUCAUGUGGUGGGCUGGCAAUCUCCCGCAGGCCCUGCUCGUAGACGUCCUCACUGGGGGCCACUGCAAAGAGCUUGAUCCCCAUGUCGCGUGCCCUCUCAGCUUGCAUUUUCAUUCCGCCACAGGGGCUGCCAGUGACAUGGCCAUCAGUGAUGACCACUGCAAACUUCACAUCCCGGGCCGUCUGGCUCUGGAAUUGCUGUGUCAUGUUGGAGAUAGCACAGUCCGUGAAGGUGCCUCGGCCAAGGUACCUAAUAGCACGGAGCUUGGUGAGGUAUGUGUCUUUGCUUCUUGUUAAAGGGCUGUAAAUUUCCACCACAUCUGAGUAAUGAAGUCCUCCAAACAUCCAAGUGAUGGAGACUUGGUUCUGAUACACCUCAUUCUCCA